rnacentral:rRNA from 1 species
CGCGUAGGCGGCUUAGCAAGUCAGAUGUGAAAGCCCCGGGCUUAACUCGGGAAUUGCAUCUGAAACUGCUUUGCUUGAGUCCUGGAGGGGGUAGUGGAAUUCCCAGUGUAGCGGUGAAAUGCGUAGAUAUUGGGAGGAACACCUGCGGCGAAGGCGGCUACCUGGACAGUGACUGACGCUGAGGCGCGAAAGCUAGGGGAGCGAACGGGAUUAGAUACCCCGGUAGUCCUAGCCGUAAACGAUGGGCACUUGGUGUUGGGGGUAUUGAGUCCCCCGGUGCCGGAGUUAACACGUUAAGUGCCCCGCCUGGGGAGUACGGUCGCAAGACUGAAA